GUGAAUAUAGUUUAAACAAAACCCUAGAUUGUGAUUCUAGAAAUGGGGGAUACCCCCCCCCUAUUCACC
rnacentral:tRNA from 1 species